UAAAUAUUUGGUCAAGCUACAAAGGGCUUAUGGUGGAUGCCUUGGGGCAAAGAGCCGAUGAAGGGCGCAGUAAGCGGCGAAACGCGUCGGGGAGCAGCAAACAUGCAUUGAUCCGGCGGUGCCCGAAUGGGGGAACCCGGCACUGGUUAUGCGGUGUCACCGUAUGCUGAAUACAUAGGUAUACGGAGGUAAGCGGGUGAACUGAAACAUCUUAGUAACCCGAGGAAGAGAAAGCGAAGCGAUUCCGUGAGUAGCGGCGAGCGAAAUCGGAUCAGCCUAAACCUGUAUCGUGUGAUAGGACGCAGCCGUUGCGGUAUGGGUGUUGUGGGGUCGAACUGGCGAACUGCGAGUUAGCCGGCAAGUUAUCAAGUCAAUCGUUAAUCGAAGUCGACUGGAAAGUCGUGCCAUAGAGAGUGAUAGUCUCGUAGAUGAAAGCGAUUGACCUUGCGUUCGAUACCCGAGUAGCGCGGGACACGAGAAAUCUUGCGUGAAUCUGGGCGGACCACCGUCUAAGGCUAAAUACUCUUUGCCACCGAUAGCGGAUAGUACCGUGAGGGAAAGGUGAAAAGAACCCCGGGAGGGGAGUGAAAUAGAACCUG
rnacentral:rRNA from 1 species